GGCUUGAUAGUUUAAAAAAAAUGCUGAAUUGCAAAUUUGGAGAUGUAAUUAAUACUUAAGCUU
rnacentral:tRNA from 1 species